UACAGAGGGUGCGAGCGUUGUCCGGAAUCACUGGGCGUAAAGGGCGCGUAGGUGGCGACCCAAGUCGAUGGUGAAAGCUCGCCGCUCAACGGCGAGUCGGCCACCGAUACUGGGUUGCUCGAGCACUGUAGAGGCUAAUGGAAUUCCGGGUGUAGCGGUGGAAUGCGUAGAGAUCCGGAAGAACACCGGUGGCGAAGGCGGUUAGCUGGGCAGUUGCUGACACUGAGGCGCGACAGCGUGGGGAGCGAGCAGG
rnacentral:rRNA from 1 species